UUCAAGUGUUUUGCAGUGACGCAUCUUUUUUCGACAAAGACAGCUUCCUUACACAUUUACUGUGCGUCUAAGAUGAGUUCGCGAGUGAUUUUACUGAAGAAAAAGGCCCAGCUGUUUAGGGGAAUUCGGAACAGCAAGGACAUACUUUUCGGAGGAUUUCAGUCGUGCAGUGGCCAGACCAGACGGCAGACUGGCUGGGUGGCCACGCUGAACCUGGCCAUACAAUUGGGUCUAGUGAAGGCCAGCAUGGACGCUCGUGGCUUCCGGCACGGGCUCUACGCCAACCAGCUGCGGUCUACGCGAGGCAAGACCUGCAUGAACUGCUUGCUGUGCAAAGAGGCUGACGAGGACCUGACGGCGGCCCCAGGAGUUUUUAUCUCCAUACAAGAAUACGGCGGCGAUUGCCCUUUGCUGGAGGCACUGCAACAACAAUCAUCAGCAUCAGCGGCAACACCCACUGACGCUGCAAAAUGUCUGAUGAAUUUUGGCAAAAAUUGCAGCCUGUUGCCAGCCAUGGACGCCGAGUCGCUCAAUCCUGCGCGCAGCAACAGCCGCAGACCGGUGGUGGGCGAUGGCACCCGUCCCGCGCGGGAGGUAACUGCCACGCCGGCUGGCUCCAACCAGGAGGAGAGAGCGGGUGUCCGCACUCGCUACCACGAUCUCUUGGCUAUCCCGGACUCGGACCGAACAGACGAGGAAAGGACGCAAGUGCGGACAAUUAGCGAGAGCCGUUUACUGGAAAUUUUAGUGCAACUCCUCGAAGCCGGCAGAGACGUGCCUAUUUCAGCACGUUUAGACUUUGCCAUGGGCUCAUCAAAAUUAUCAUUUUGAAUUCCGCCCUCACGCUCCUGGUUUGGUCACGUGGGUCUGGCAUGUACCUUCCGCGCAGCACGUGUUACCUGCCCAUCACUAGUCUUGUUCCGUUGUUUGGCGUAGUAACGGAGCGACUUCGAACAGUUGAUGGUGAAUUAAGCACUAAGCAUUAUGGAAAUAUUUCUGGCAUGCCAUUUCUUACAUCCUUCGCAAAUACUGUAUUCAUUAGUGCGUUGAAUAUUUGUGUCAGCGAAAUGCAAAAAAUCAAUCAUGCGCUUCCUGGGUUGCAGCUUUUUCAUGUGUCGAUAUGUUCUCGGUGACGUGGAUGAUACAAGUAUUUUACGAACAAAAAUGUAUGUCAUGUCAACACAUAACCCAAACUGUAUGAUACAUAAACAAGAUUUUCCAACACAUCAACAAGAAACGUCAACAAGAUUUUCUAACACAUAGCUAAUAUUUUUAACCAAAUCAACAAGCAUAUCUUGAACAGGUUUGUCGCCAAAGUCAUCAUUGACAUUGACGACAUUUGUCAGAUGUUUCAACAGGUGCAGCAUAUUAUUAUAA